rnacentral:rRNA from 1 species
AGAUUGAACGCUGGCGGCAUGCCUUACACAUGCAAGUCGAACGGUAGAGUAGCAAUACUCGAGAGUGGCGAACGGGUGAGUAAUAUAUCGGAACGUGCCCAUUCGUGGGGGAUAACGCAGCGAAAGCUGUGCUAAUACCGCAUAAGAUCUACGGAUGAAAGCAGGGGAUCGCAAGACCUUGCGCGAAUGGAGCGGCCGAUGGCAGAUUAGGGUAGUUGGUGAGGUAAAGGCUCACCAAGCCUUCGAUCUGUAGCUGGUCUGAGAGGACGACCAGCCACACUGGGACUGAGACACGGCCCAGACUCCUACGGGAGGCAGCAGUGGGGAAUUUUGGACAAUGGGCGAAAGCCUGAUCCAGCCAUGCCGCGUGCAGGAUGAAGGCCUUCGGUUGUAAACUGCUUUGUACGGAACGAAAGUCUCUUUCUAAUAAAGAGGAUCAUGACGUACCGUAAGAAUAAGACACCGGACUAACUACGUGCAGACG